rnacentral:rRNA from 1 species
AUUGAACGCUGGCGGCGUGCUUAACACAUGCAAGUCGAACGAAGUGGCGAACGGGUGAGUAACGCGUAAUCAACCUGCCCUUCAGAGGGGGACAACAGUUGGAAACGACUGCAAAUACCGCAUACUGAAGGAGGGGAUUGCGUGGGAUUAGCUAGUUGGAGGGGUAACGGCCCACCAAGGCGCGGCUCAGUAGCCGGUCUGAGAGGGUUAACGGCCACAUUGGGACUGAGACACGGCCCAUACCCCUACGGGAGGCAGCAGUUGGGAAUCUUUCGCAAUGGACGAAAGUCUGACGGCGCAAAGCCGCGGGAGUGAUGAAGGCCUUCGGGUUGGAAAGCUCUGUUCAGCGGGACGCGGUACCGAAAUAGAAAGCCACGGCUAACUCCGUGCCAGCAGCCGCGGUAAUAC